GAUUAAAAGCAACUCACAGGCUCAAGCCAUUUACAGUGGAAUAACAUAUACCUGGUCCGAGAAUUCCUGCAUGGGAGUUGCUGUGUAAAGAUUCCUUGAACUCCUGCCAUAAGCUGUUUAAUACAAUAGCAAAAUCAGCAAAGGAUUUAAGGGUCUUACAAAAUUGCACCACCAGCCCAGCAAUGAACAUGACUGGGAUAAGGCCUAACACCACCCAGGUAUACCAGCAGUGAGGCAAGGCAGACUUUGUGUAAUGACCUACAAAAUAAAAGACAACCUCAGCAUGAAACGAAACAACAGAACACUGGAAAAGUUGAUUAUCAGUACCAUGAACACAAGGAGAAAUUCUCUGUAUUUACACAUUUCUGCAAAUAUAAUUUUUUUCUCCUUCUCUACCCAAGAUGCAUGUCCUACACUCUGUUAUGAUAGAAGAAAAUUUAAUGAAAAGGCUUCUUGAAAGCCUUUAAUUGAUGAAAUUUCUUGAAAAUGAUCUUGACCUGGAAAAUGAUUCUUAUAUGGUAUAGUCAAAGAUUUCAAUUCAUGGAGACAUCCUUGUAAAAUAGCCAGUAAAUACAUCUGUUAUUUGGGCUUUAUUCCCUUAAAGUU